rnacentral:rRNA from 1 species
GAUCAACUCUGGCGGGAUCCCUAAUACAUUCAAGUCGAUCGAACGUACGAGAAUCUUGCUUGUCUGAUGGUGGCGGCGGACGUGUAGGUAACACAUGUGUAACCUACCUAUAAAACGGGGAUAACUUCGGGAAACCGGAGCUAAUACCCGAUAAUAUUUGGAACCGCUUGCUUCAAAACUAAUAGACGUUCUUGCUAUCACUUAUAUAUGUAUCCGCGCUGCAUUAGCUAGUUGGUAAGGUAACUGCUUACCAGGGCAAAGAUGCAUAGCCAACCUGAGCGGGUGAUUGGCCACACUGGCACUGGGAUACGGUCAAGAGUCCUACGGGAGGCAGCAGUAGGGAAGCUUCCGCAAUGGGCGAAAGACUGACGGAGCAACGCCGCGUGAGUGAUGAAGGUCUUCGGAUCGUAAAACUCUGUUAUUAGGGAAGCACAUAUGUGUAAGUAACUGUGCACAUCUUGACGGUACCUAAUAAGAAAGCGACGGCUAACUACGUG